UAAUAAGUGGUUUUAUGGCACUUUUUAAAUCCAUAUCCACCUUGUGUGCAAUGUCAGUCGGAUCUUCUUCAUGGAGAUCGACCAAACAUCAACCUUUAUCUUUUAACUCUUUGUCUGAAAAAUAUUAUGAAUAAACAAUUCAAGAUA
rnacentral:misc_RNA from 1 species